GACGAACGCUGGCGGCGUGCUUAACACAUGCAAGUCGAGCGGUAAGGCCCUUUCGGGGGUACACGAGCGGCGAACGGGUGAGUAACACGUGGGUGACCUGCCCUCAGCUCUGGGAUAAGCCCGGGAAACUGGGUCUAAUACUGGAUAUGACUCCACGGUGCAUGCCGUGGGGUGGAAAGCCUUGUGCGGCCGAGGAUGGGCCCGCGGCCUAUCAGCUUGUUGGUGGGGUGAUGGCCACCAAGGCGACGACGGGUAGCCGGCCUGAGAGGGCGACCGGCCACACUGGGACUGAGACACGGCCCAGACUCCUACGGGAGGCAGCAGUGGGGAAUCUUGCGCAACGGGUGAAAGCCUGACGCAGCAACGCCGCGUGAGGGACGACGGCCCUCGGGUUGUAAACCUCUUUCAGCGGGGACGAGGCCGACGCGGUUAAUACCCGCGAGCGGUGACGCUACCCGCAGAAGAAGCCCCGGCUAACUACGUGCCAGCAGCCGCUGUAAC
rnacentral:rRNA from 1 species